CAGCAGCCGCGGGAAUACGAAGGGUGCGAGCGUUAAUCGGAAUUACUGGGCGUAAAGCGUGCGCAGGCGGUUCGUUAAGACAGAUGUGAAAUCCCCGGGCUUAACCUGGGAACUGCAUUUGUGACUGGCGAGCUAGAGUAUGGCAGAGGGGGGUAGAAUUCCACGUGUAGCAGUGAAAUGCGUAGAGAUGUGGAGGAAUACCGAUGGCGAAGGCAGCCCCCUGGGCCAAUACUGACGCUCAUGCACGAAAGCGUGGGGAGCAAACAGGAUUAGAUACCCGCGUAGUCCCUGUCUCUUAUAC
rnacentral:rRNA from 1 species